GACGAACGCUGGCGGCGUGCUUAACACAUGCAAGUCGAACGGUGAACCUCUUCGGAGGGGAUCAGUGGCGAACGGGUGAGUAACACGUGGGCAACCUGCCCCCGGCUCUGGGAUAACUCCAAGAAAUUGGGGCUAAUACCGGAUGUUCACCGCUUCCCGCAUGGGUGGUGGUGGAAAGGGUUUCCGGCUGGGGAUGGGCCCGCGGCCUAUCAGCUUGUUGGUGGGGUAGUGGCCUACCAAGGCGACGACGGGUAGCCGGCCUGAGAGGGUGACCGGCCACACUGGGACUGAGACACGGCCCAGACUCCUACGGGAGGCAGCAGUGGGGAAUAUUGCGCAAUGGGCGGAAGCCUGACGCAGCGACGCCGCGUGGGGGAUGACGGCCUUCGGGUUGUAAACCUCUUUCAGCAGGGACGAAGCGCAAGUGACGGUACCUGCAGAAGAAGCACCGGCCAACUGCGUG
rnacentral:rRNA from 1 species